rnacentral:rRNA from 1 species
GGACCGUUUGAAGACAAACUACUGCGAAAGCAUUUGCCAAGAAUGUUUUCAUUAAUCAAGAACGAAAGUUAGAGGUUCGAAGGCGAUUAGAUACCGCCCUAGUUCUAACCAUAAACGAUGCCAGCUAGCGAUCUGAGGACGUUUUUUUUGUAGACUCCUCAGGAAGCUUCCGGGAAACCAAAGCGUGUGGGUUCCGGGGGAAGUAUGGUUGCAAAGCUGAAACUUAAAGGAAUUGACGGAAGGGCACCACCAGGAGUGGAGCCUGCGGCUUAAUUUGACUCAACACGGGAAAUCUCACCAGGCCCGGACACNGGAAGGAUUGACAGAUUGAGAGCUCUUUCUCGAUUCGGUGGGUGGUGGUGCAUGGCCGUUCUUAGUUGGUGGAGUGAUUUGUCUGGUUAAUUCCGAUAACGAACGAGACUCUGUCCUGCUAAAUAGUGUCGGCCUCUCUUUUGGGCCGACAAUUCUUCUUAGAGGGACUGGCAGCUCCUAGCUGCACGAGAUAGAGCAAUAACAGGUCUGUGAUGCCCUUAGAUGUUCUGGGCAGCACGCGCGCUACACUGAAUAGAUCAGCGUGUUCUCCCUUUCUGAGAAGAACGGGUAAACCGCUGAACCCUAUUCGUGGUAGGGAUCGGGGCUUGCAAUUAUUCCCCGUGAACCAGGAAUUCCCAGUAGGCGCGAGUCAUAAGCNCGCGUCGAUUACGUCCCUGCCCUUUGUACACACCGCCCGUCGCUACUACCGAUUGAACGUUUUAGUGAGGUCCACGGACUGUUUGCAGAGCGGAUUAUUCUGCCUUGCUGGCGGGAAGUCGACCAAA